rnacentral:rRNA from 2 species
UUUCGAAUCAUUCACAAUGGGCGAAAGCCUGAUGGUGCGACGCCGCGUGAGGGAUGAAGGUCUUCGGAUUGUAAACCUCUGUCACCGGGGAAGAAACGCUUCAUGUUAAUAGUAUGAAGCCUGACUUAACCCGGAGAGGAAGCAGUGGCUAACUCUGUGCCAGCAGCCGCGGUAAUACAGAGACUGCAAGCGUUAUUCGGAUUCACUGGGCGUAAAGGGUGCGCAGGCGGCCGUGUGUGUGAGGCGUGAAAGCCCGGGGCUUAACCCCGGAAUUGCACCUCAAACUACAUGGCUAGAGCAUUGGAGAGGGUAGCGGAAUUCACGGUGUAGCAGUGAAAUGCGUAGAUAUCGUGAGGAACACCAGAGGCGAAGGCGGCUACCUGGACAAUUGCUGACGCUCAGGCACGAAAGCGUGGGGAGCAAAAGGG